GACGAACGCUGGCGGCGUGCUUAACACAUGCAAGUCGAACGGAAAGGCCCUGCUCUUGUGGGGUGCUCAAGUGGCGAACGGGUGAGUAACACGUGAGUAACCUGCCCUUGACUUUGGGAUAACCUCAGGAAACUGGGGCAAUUACCGGAUAGGAUCUCCUGCUGCAUGGUGGGGGUUGGAAAGCUUCGGCGGUUGGGGAUGGACUCGCGGCUUAUCAGCUUGUUGGUGAGGUAGUGGCUUACCAAGGCUUUGUCGGGUAGCCGGCCUGAGAGGGUGACAGGGCACAGUGGGACUGAGCUACGGCCCGGACUCGUACGGGAGGCAGCAGUGGGGAAUAUUGCACGAUGGACGGAAGCCUGAUGCAGGAACGACGCGUGCGGGGUGAUAGCCUUCUGGUUGUAGGCCGCUAUCGCCGGUGACGGAGCGUGAGUGACGGUAAUGGGUAAAGAAGCACCGGCUAACUACGUG
rnacentral:rRNA from 1 species